GGUCUGUAGCUCAGGUGGUUAGAGCGCACCCCUGAUAAGGGUGAGGUCGGUGGUUCAAGUCCACCCAGACCCACCAAAAUCGCCCAGAUCGGCGUUAUCGAAUGACUUGCCUAGCAGGCUAGGCGGCGACAUCCGAUGCCU
rnacentral:tRNA from 1 species